GAGGCCUCUCCAGAAGCAGAGCUCCUGUCCUUUGCCCUAUAAGCGGUGUCCUGUGCGUGCUCUGGUCAGACUCCCUAGAUGAGAAUCACAGCUCCACUAUGACCUGUGCAAUCUAUCUCAACCUCCAUUUCCUCAACUGUAAAAUGGAAAUUAGUAACAAUUGUUGUCAAGAUUAAAUGAGAUCAUGCAUGUACAGCAAUCAGUACAAGGCUGUAUAGUAGGCAAUGACCACCUGCUACUAUCAUUGCUAACACAAAUGUGACUGCAUCACUACCUGAUGAAAGCCUUUUACUGAAUCUACAAAGCCUCCAGAACAAAGUCUUAACGUGUUAGGCUCUCACAGCAUCUGCCAUUUACUCUUCGAAUCUUCUGCCACCCUCUGCUUUAAACACUAUGCUCCAAUACUACCAAACUCUCCACAAAUCUAUUAUCAACUUCCACUUAUUUGACAGACAUAUAUUAAAAUGCCCACUAUUGGAGUGCUGGUAAGUACUCAACAAAUUAAUUUCCCUUCCUGGGGAAUUCCAACUACCUCCUAAAAACAUGCCAACAUGAAAAAAGGCCUAUUUUCAAUCUCGUAUCUAGGAAGUGAUACAGAAUUCAGUUUCCUUAUUUGUAAAAUAAAACAGGUAAUCCUCCUUUCAUCUCAAAAAUGUGAUGCCCUGCUAAGGUGGCUGUGGAAAAAACUAAUCUUCAUAUCUACUUUAAGUCUUAAUACAUUGUUUAAAUGCACUUGAAGUACUACA
rnacentral:lncRNA from 1 species